rnacentral:misc_RNA from 1 species
UCCUUCUUAUCGAAGGCAGUUUUCGAAGAGUGCAUCCCUUGCGGGAUUAGCAACAUCGAAUAGGGGCUGCGCUCGUUGCGGGACUUAACCCAACAUCUCACGACACGAGCUGACGACAACCAUGCAGCACCUCUGCAGGCUCCCUUGCGGGUCAGCCCCUGUUUCUAGGGACUUACCACCUGUAGUUCAAGCCCGGGUAAGGUUCUUCGCGUUGCGUCGAAUUAAUCCACAUGCUCCGCCGCUUGUGCGGGCCCCCGUCAAUUCCUUUGAGUUUUAGCCUUGCGGCCGUAGUCCCCAGGCGGCGUACUUAUCGCGUUAGCUGCGGCACCGAGGGGGUCGAUACCCCCGACACCUAGUACGCAUCGUUUACAGCGUGGACUAC